GGGGAUUUAGCUCAGCGGUAGAGCGCUUGCCUAGGGAGCAUAAGGCCCUGGGUUCGGUCCCCAGCUCUG
rnacentral:tRNA from 1 species